CCCCCAUAAGACCUUACCCCAAUAGUAGAGUUGAAGCGGUCCGCCACUUAAACAAGAGGGGAAGGGGUAGGCAAGAAGGCGUGACCGUGUACUUUUUAGCUCAAAUUUUACAAAUCUCUGUUACCUGGAGAUUCAUUUCAGAGAGCUUGGAUUGGAUCUAUUGAGGUUGAAGUGGAUGUACCCAUCCAGUCUAAUAUGUUUAAUCUGAAACUAGCCCUUUAUUUCUCUUGCUCCGCUUUGAUUCGGCAAACCUAAAUUUGGCAGAUGAAAGCAGAGCGAAAGAUCUAAAGGGCGAAUUCUCCACCAUGUAACUGAAAGAUAUGGGUAGCUUUCUGUGUAAGGGACGUGAUUUUGCAGGCAAAUAUCCUCUGUUAUUGGGUAACUCUUUUGUCACCAUCGCAUUGGUGAAUGUUGUUGUGUCACGCAUCAAACCCCUCUUUUUCUCAUCAGUACCAUCAUAGCUGCUCCUCUUUUAGCUAUUGAUCUCCUCGAGGUCUGAUUCAACAGCCCUUAUCCCUGCCCCCUAUUGCUGCUUCUUCUAUUGUAGUUUAUAUGAGCAUAUAAUUCCUCUGUCCUAUCUGCAUCUUUCUCUGGAUUUCCAAAUACCCAAAAUAGGAAAGGGUUGGUUGCCUGUUCCGGAGGCAGAGAUGGUUUUGGAAAAAAAAUUAUGAUUGAGAGAUUGGUGAGCGAGUUUCUGUGCAUGUAUUUGGUGGCAAUCCCAUCGACGAAUGCAGCAUUUACAGACACAGAAGCAGAUGCAGAUCUUGAUUAGCUGCUUGCACAUGCCCAUCUUGAUUUAUAGUAAGAGCAUGUCGAAAACACUAUAGGGUUUCACACUCAUGCCGGGAAAUAUCGGCAGAUGUACCUACUCUUUCAAUGGAUACACAGAAUCUGAUGCGGGAUAUCUGAUGAUGCAAGUGUUGAGUUUGGUUCAUACAGAUCAGUUAGACUCAAAUUUAGGACUUUACUUUUGUUGUUGGAGUGUUAUAUCAACUGCACUAUUCGUCCUGUGGCCAGUCCAUUAUUGAUCCAGGUGUGACUUAUUUUCUAACACUCUUUUUUAAAUUACACUGUAGGCAUUUGGGGCUCCUAGGGCUCUAGUCUGACUUUGAUACUGAAUAUUGAGUUAUAGUUCAUAUGAAUCAAUUAGAACUCAAAACUAAAAACCUUUCAUUUAAAUUGAAUUACUAUUCUGAUUUUGAUACUGAAUGUUGAAUUGUAAUUCAUAUGAACCAAUUAGAACUCAAAGCUAGCAACUUUAAUUUACUGCUGGAGUGCUUUGCGAAUUGAAUUAUUAGCCCUUGCUGACCAAACCAUUGUCAAUUGAGAUGUGACUUCUUUUCACCCACAACUGAUUUGAAACUGACUUGCAUGUGUUUUAUCCAUCAUAAUUGGAGAUACUUCUGAGUAUAUAUGCUGAAAUGAGGGAUAAUCAAGGUGGGAAGCCUUUAAAGGCAAGGAAAAAACCUUAAAAUCCUUGCAGACCAGCGGCAUAGAUCCAGAAUGGGCAUGCACAAAUGAGGCGAUUGAAUAAAGGUGGCACGUUGAGGCAACAAACAAACUGCUUUGAGAUGAAUGAAGCAAAUGUAAAACAUUUAAUUUCUUUGAGAUUCAAUGAUAAGUGGGUUGCAGAAGGCAUGUGAGUGAUAGGUAAGGAUGUAUUUGACUCCUUGCUUAGGCUGGGCUUAGCCUUAUGAAGUUUUUCACAGUAUUAAAAAAAUUCUUCUUACUCUGUCUCCUCAAUUUUCUUAUGAAUUUAUUGAUGAGGCAAUUUGUUUGCUUUUUAA